rnacentral:rRNA from 1 species
UACGUAGGGUGCGAGCGUUAAUCGGAAUUACUGGGCGUACAGCGCGCGCAGGCGGACCGCCACGUGCCGUGUGACAAGCCACUGCUCAACAGUGGAGGGCCAGGGUACACGAGCGGUCUGGAGGCAGGGAGAGGGAUGUGGAAUGCCCGGUGGAGCGGUGAAAUGCGUAGAGAUCGGGCAGAACACCAGCGGCGAAGGCGGCAUCCUGGUCCUGUUCUGACGCUGAGGCGCGAGAGCGUGGGGAGCGAACUGG